UGUGCCGCCGCCGGUGAAACACGCAGGCCAAUACAUCGCCUGCCUUCCGCUAACCCUCUGUCAAAUAAUUUCCACGGCCCCGUGAACGAGCAAGAUUUGUGCGAUCCAUGGAUGAGCAAGAUUCACUGUGUUGUCGGUGAGCUGAAGAGGAGGAGGUUUUGGAGUGAGAAAGAGUACAAUUUCGCCCUAAUCAUACUCCUUCGAUUUAUUUAGUAAGCAUAAAAAUGCAAUUAGACUUGAGGAUAAGGAGAAGAGAGAAAAAGAGUUGUUGGAACAAAUUGUAGCAGAAGUUGAGGAGUACAAAGUUGAGUUUUACAAAAAGCGAUAGCUUGCUUGCGAAACCACCAAAACUGCCAAUCGAAAAAAUAAGAAGGUAAGAGUAAUGACAAUAUUUGCUAUUCACAAGUGAUAUGUUGUUGCUAAACUAUUUUCAAUUUGAUCCAUAUUAUUAUUAAUCCUUGCAAAUUAUCCAAAAUCUAAACUUCUCAAAAUGGUAUUGUCUCUCUACCCUAUUGUUUAUUGUCAAAUGUGUUGUAGCUUAGAUUGGAUGUUUUUCCAGGCUCGGUUUACUUGUGUUUUCAAUUUUGUUUUGGCCCUAUUCAUCAAAAUUCUUCCUUUUAAAAAUAUAAAAACUAAACAUAUAUUUUAUUUAAAACUUUGAUGUGCCAAUAUAUUGUGCGAUGGAAGUGAUUUGAGAAGUGCAUCUCUAAACCUAGAAGCAAUUUGAGUGAAAGCGAGAUAAAGCUUGUGGGUGGAGGGGUCCGUACAAGCCAGACCACUACAUGUACUAAGUAAGAAAUGCGAAACGAAACAAGAACAGACAAACAUACACUUUGAUCAAUGUUAUUCUACAAAAAAAGGACAUUCAACACGUAUAAACAUGGAGUUGGAUGUAAUUCAAAAGAAUUUGGUGUGUCAUCAGUAAAUAUGAGUUAGGAGAGAGUCUUGAAUAUUUUGGAAUCAUUGAAUGUAUUAUGGAGUUAUCUGACGAUCUUCACCCGAAUAUGAAGAUUGUAUUGUUUAGGUGUCGUUGGGCGGAUCCAACAUGUGGCGUGCGGAAACAUCGUGCUUAUCAUCUUGUGGAUGUUAAUUUCAGAUUUUUAUUGCGUACAAAAUAGCAUUAUAUUCUUGCACAACAAGCAAAACAAAUUUUUUAUAUGGAUUAUCCAAGUGCAACAAAUGAACGGUCUUUUUGGAAAGUUGUGGUACGUACUAUGCCUCAAUGUGUUGUAAAAGUGACAUGUGAUUAAAUAAUUUUUCAAUUAGAAAAUAUUUGUGAUUUGCUUGAGUGAAUUGAUAGAAAUGAAAGGUUGAGAUUAGUUGACACAGAUUAGGAAGCAUUAUCCGAAGAUCAACAUUCAGAUUAGGAAGCAAUAAAGGAAUAUUGAAAGAUGGUUGGAGAAUUCAUCUCAAUAACAUUGUUGUAAGCCAACGCUUAAGUUAAGUGUUUAUUUCUUUAACCCACUUUUUAACUCAUUUUUGUACAUUUGAUA